AGUUCUGUAGUGUAGUGGUGAUCACGUCUACCUAACACGCAGAAAAUGACAGGUUCGAGACCGGGCAGAACCA
rnacentral:tRNA from 1 species